rfam:Brassica oleracea var. oleracea cultivar TO1000 chromosome C7, whole genome shotgun sequence
GUAAUAUAAGAUACAGUCUCUUAGCUUUUAACUAAAAGAACUAAGAGACGUCUCUUAUAUCUUUUACUUAAAAAACGUUUCUUAGCUUUUUAAUUAAAAGCUAAGAGACCAUAUCUUAUAUUAC